CCCUUAGAUGUUCUGGGCCGCACGCGCGCUACACAGACGAAGUCAGCGAGCAUGUCCUACGCCGACAGGUGCGGGGAAUCUUGUCAAACUUCGUCGUGAUGGGGAUUGAUUAUUGAAAUUCUUGAUCAUCAACGAGGAAUUCCUAGUAAGCGCAAGUCAGCAGCUUGCGUUGAUUACGUCCCUGCCCUUUGUACACACCGCCCGUCGCUACUACCGAUUGAAUGGUUUAGUGAGAUCUUCGGAUUGGCGCCACUGCGGCUCAGCAAUGGGCUCGGUGGAUGCCGAAAAGUUGAUCAAACUUGAUCAUUUAGAGGAAGUAAAAGUCGUAACA
rnacentral:rRNA from 1 species